UACGGAGGAUCCAAGCGUUAUCCGGAUUUAUUGGGUUUAAAGGGUGCGUAGGUGGCUUUUUAAGUCAGGGGUGAAAGACGGUAGCUUAACUAUCGCAGUGCCUUUGAUACUGAAGAGCUUGAAUGAACUAGAGGUAGGCGGAAUGUGACAAGUAGCGGUGAAAUGCAUAGAUAUGUCACAGAACACCAAUUGCGAAGGCAGCUUACUAUGGUUUUAUUGACACUGAGGCACGAAAGCGUGGGGAUCGAACAGG
rnacentral:rRNA from 1 species